GCAGCCGCCGCGGUAAUACGGAGGGUGCAAGCGUUAAUCGGAAUUACUGGGCGUAAAGCGCACGCAGGCGGUCUGACAAGUCAGAUGUGAAAUCCCCGGGCUUAACCUGGGAACUGCAUUUGAAACUGUCAGGCUGGAGUCUUGUAGAGGGGGGUGGAAUUCCAGGUGUAGCGGUGAAAUGCGUAGAGAUCUGGAGGAAUACCGGUGGCGAAGGCGGCCCCCUGGACAAAGACUGACGCUCAGGUGCGAAAGCGUGGGGAGCAAACAGGAUUAGAUACCCGAGUAGUCCCUGUCUCUUAUAC
rnacentral:rRNA from 1 species